rnacentral:rRNA from 1 species
CAUAAACGGCGAAACUGCGAAUGGCUCAUUAAAUCAGUUAUCGUAUAUUUGAUAGUACCUACUACAUGGAUAACCGUGGUAAUUCUAGAGCUAAUACAUGCUUAAAAUCCCGACUUCGGAAGGGAUGUAUUUAUUAGAUUAAAAACCAAUGCCCUUCGGGGCUCACUGGUGAUUCAUAAUAACUUCUCGAAUCGCAUGGCCUUGUGCCGGCGAUGGUUCAUUCAAAUUUCUGCCCUAUCAACUUUCGACGGCUGGGUCUUGGCCAGCCGUGGUUACAACGGGUAACGGAGGGUUAGGGCUUGACCCCGGAGAAGGAGCCUGAGAAACGGCUACUACAUCCAAGGAAGGCAGCAGGCGCGCAAAUUACCCAAUCCCGACUCGGGGAGGUAGUGACAAUAAAUACUGAUACAGGGCUCUUUUGGGUCUUGUAAUUGGAAUGAGUACAAUUUAAAUCCCUUAACGAGGAACAAUUGGAGGGCAAGUCUGGUGCCAGCAGCCGCGGUAAUUCCAGCUCCAAUAGCGUAUAUUAAAGUUGUUGCAGUUAAAAAGCUCGUAGUUGAACCUUGGGCCUGGCUGGCCGGUCUGCCUCACCGCAUGCACUGGUCCGGCCGGGCCUUUCCCUCUGGGGAGCCGCAUGCCCUUCACUGGGUGUGUCGGGGAACCAGGACUUUUACUGUGAAAAAAUUAGAGUGUUCAAAGCAGGCAUAUGCUCGAAUACAUUAGCAUGGAAUAAUAGAAUAGGACGUCGCGGUUCUAUUUUGUUGGUUUCUAGGACCGCCGUAAUGAUUAAUAGGGACAGUCGGGGGCAUCAGUAUUCAAUCGUCAGAGGUGAAAUUCUUGGAUCGAUUGAAGACUAACUACUGCGAAAGCAUUUGCCAAGGAUGUUUUCAUUAAUCAGGAACGAAAGUUAGGGGAUCGAAAAACGAUCAGAUACCGUUGUAGUCUUAACCAUAAACUAUGCCGACUAGGGAUCGGGCGGUGUUAUUUCUUGACCCGCUCGGCACCUUACACGAAAGUAAAGUUUUU